ensembl:lncRNA
AUUUGCAGUAAGACCGAUUAAGCUUGUGUUUCAGAUGAAUGAAUUCACAAUCCCACCAAGCCCAGCUGAUGAAUAUAGAAAGCGAGACGAGAGGGGAUAAACAGCCUUCCAGGGUAGGUGGAAGGAAGAGAGAAUGGCAGGUAGGCAGAUGUGUGGCUAGGACAAGCCACCUCUUCUGUAGAGUUUAGGUUACUUCAUUUGAGGAAAAGAACUUGUAAGACAGUUCAUUCCGCCAAGAGGAUCUACGCGUCCAUCACACACAGCCUUGGGUGAUGCUAACCUCCCUGCCCUGCAACCCCUGGGGACCCCUGCUUCCUCCUCCUGCAGUGCUUGUCCCCGCUGGACAGAUUUGUCCCCAAGACUUAGCAAGGUCAUUUAGGAACCGGACAGCAUGAUGUCUGGCACAUGUUCUCUGGUGGAUUUCUGGACUCUACAUUCAGGACACUGCAGUGCAAGUCUCAUUAUGAAAAGAAGCCAAUUCCCGGUGAAACAGAAUGAAACAGUUUUCACCUGAGAGCAGAAGAGGGUCUUGCUAAGCUGGGCAGGCUGGGCUCAAACAUGUGGUCCUCUUGCUGCAAUCUCCCAGAGUGCUGGGACUGUAGGACACAACACCGGACACCCACACCCUGAAGGAGGAGACUUUAUUUUGGCUCGCGGUUUGAGUCCACAGUAGGCUGGUUCCAAGGCUGGACCGACGGCGUAAAAAGGUCUGGUGGAGAAAAGCUGCCUACAUCAGGGCAGCCAGGAAGGGGAGCCGCAAGGGAGGAGCUGGCGAGGGAGAUGGGCCCUUCCGGGGUACACCCCAGUGGCCUCUCCCACCACGUCUCUCCUGCCCGCAGCACACUCCGUUCUGAACUCAUGGAAGAACUGAUCCACCGUUGAGUGGAGAUUGAAGAUCCAGUCACUUUUCCCACACAUGAGGAAUUCAGGGGACAUUUUAGGUCUAAACCAUAAGAGUGAUUUUGUUUAAAGUAUGCCCCUUGCAAAAGAAUCUGGAAUUAGGUUUUACUUUUUGUUAUCCAAUUUGAAAUUCUUUUUAAAAAGGAAAAUUAAACCCAUCAAAAAACUAAUCAUUUUUGUUUAUGUGAAAUUAUGUGAUGCUUUUUUGAAAUAAAUCUCUUAGUAAUGGC